UGCGCAGGCGGGCUUGUAAGUCAGUAGUGAAAUUUUGCGGCUUAACCGUAAAACUGCCAUUGAUACUGCAAGUCUUGAAUAUGGUUGAGGUAGGCGGAAUGUGUUGUGUAGCGGUGAAAUGCAUAGAUAUGACACAGAACGCCGAUUGCGAAGGCAGCUUACUAAGCCAUGAUUGACGCUGAGGCACGAAAGCGUGGGGAGCGAACCGGAUUAGAGACCCGAGUGUCC
rnacentral:rRNA from 1 species